rnacentral:snRNA from 1 species
AGACUUACCUGGCAGGGAGACACCACGACACGACGGUGGUUUUCCCAGGACGAGGCUUAUCCAUUGCACUUCAAGUCCAUAUGACCGGGUUGUUGCAUAAAGAAGAAUGAGAAAACUCUGUCAACUUUACAUUUGCAUCUUUUUUUUAAAAAAAAAAAAUUAUUUUAUUUAAC